GAUGAACGCUGGCGGCGUGCUUAACACAUGCAAGUCGAACGAACCUUCGGGUUAGUGGCGGACGGGUGAGUAACGCGUGGGAAUCUGCCCUCAGGAGGGGGAUAACGGCUGGAAACGGCCGCUAAUACCCCAUAUGCCGAGAGGUGAAAUGAAUUUCGCCUGAGGAUGAGCCCGCGUCUGAUUAGCUAGUUGGUGAGGUAAGAGCUCACCAAGGCAUCGAUCAGUAGCUGGUCUGAGAGGAUGAUCAGCCACACUGGGACUGAGACACGGCCCAGACUCCUACGGGAGGCAGCAGUGGGGAAUUUUCCGCAAUGGGCGAAAGCCUGACGGAGCAACGCCGCGUGAGGGAUGAAGGCCUCUGGGCUGUAAACCUCUUUUCUCAAGGAAGAAGAUCUGACGGUACUUGAGGGAUAAGCCACGGCUAAUUCCGUG
rnacentral:rRNA from 1 species